AUGGCUCAGGACGAACGCUGGCGGCGUGCCUAACACAUGCAAGUCGAGCGGGGUCCAUCCGGUAGCAAUACCGGGGAAGACCUAGCGGCGAAUGGGUGAGUAACACGUGAGAAACCUGCCCCGAAGUCUGGGAUAACCCGAGGAAACUCGAGCUAAUACCGGAUGUCUUCUUCUGAACGCAUGGUCGGAUGAAGAAAGAUUUAUCGCUUCGGGAGGGUCUCGCGGCCUAUCAGCUAGUUGGCGGGUAACGGCCCACCAAGGCGUCGACGGGUAGCUGGUCUGAGAGGACGAUCAGCCACACUGGGACUGAGACACGGCCCAGACUCCUACGGGAGGCAGCAGUGGGGAAUAUUGCGCAAUGGGCGAAAGCCUGACGCAGCAACGCCGCGUGCGGGAUGAAGGCCUUCGGGUUGUAAACCGCUUUCAGUGAGGACGAAUUCAGACGGUACCCACAGAAGAAGCCCCGGCCAACUACGUG
rnacentral:rRNA from 1 species